rnacentral:tRNA from 1 species
CCAUAGCUCAGUUGGUAGAGCAACAGAUUCGUAACCUGUAGGUCGGGAGUUCGAUUCUCCCUGGU